rnacentral:rRNA from 1 species
UUGGCGAACGGGUGAGUAACACGUAAGUAACCUGCCCUUCAUCUUCUGGAUAACUCGCGGAAACGUGGGCUAAUACGGGAUAUUCUUUUCCUGCUGCAUGGUGGGGUUUGGAAAGGCCUCCUUUUUGGGGGUUGGUGGGGGAUGGGCUUGCGGCCUAUCAGUUUGUUGGUGGGGUGAUGGCCUACCAAGGCGUGGACGGGUAACCGGCCUGAGAGGGUGUUCGGUCACACUGGGACUGAGAUACGGCCCAG